GGCUACGAGGACGAACGCUGGCGGCGUGCCUAAUACAUGCAAGUCGAAAGGCUUUCUAUGGAAGCUUGCUUCCACUGAGAAGAUAGUGGCGAACGGGUGAGUAACACGUGGGUAACCUGCCCAUAAGAGGGGGAUAACAUCCGGAAACGGGUGCUAAUACCGCAUAGUUUUCUUGAUCGCAUGAUUGAGAAAGGAAAGACGGCCUUUGUGCUGUCGCUUAUGGAUGGACCCGCGGCGUAUUAGUUAGUUGGUGAGGUAACGGCUCACCAAGACGAUGAUACGUAGCCGACCUGAGAGGGUGAUCGGCCACAUUGGGACUGAGACACGGCCCAAACUCCUACGGGAGGCAGCAGUAGGGAAUCUUCCGCAAUGGACGAAAGUCUGACGGAGCAACGCCGCGUGAGUGAAGUAAAAGGGUUUUCGGAUCGUAAAACUCUGUUGUCAGAGAAGGACAGGUUGGAGAGUAACUGCUCCAGCCUUGACGGUAUCUGACCAGAAAGCCACGGCUAACUACGUGCCAGCAGCCGC
rnacentral:rRNA from 1 species